GUCAAUGUCCAAAUACUUAUGGACCUAACUGUAUGUACCAUUGCCAAUAUUCUGGUAUCUGGUCCAAGUGUUGUGAGGGGAUUUCAACAAAUUUACCUUUGUUUUACAAUUUGUUAAACAAAUUAAAACCAAAAAGUUUUACUUUGCGUUCACUCAAUUAUGCUUUUAAUAUGUUAAUGGCUUUGAAUGCUCUUGUUUGAGUUAUUUCUAAAUAAUGUAAAGUUUGACCUUUUUACAAAUUUACUUAAGUGCCAAAUAAAGUUGACUUUUGAAGUUGA